GCGGGCUUAGUUCAGCAAGGUAGAACAGUAGCCUUCCAAGCUACGUGUCACCGGUUCGAGUCCGGUAGCCCGCUCCA
rnacentral:tRNA from 1 species